rnacentral:rRNA from 1 species
AUUUUCGGCAAUGGGGGCAACCCUGACCGAGCGACGCCGCGUGAGUGAAGAAGGUCUUCGGAUUGUAAAGCUCUGUUGUAAGGGAAGAACCGUACCAGUAGGGAAUGACUGGUACCUGACGGUACCUUACCAGCAAGCCCCGGCUAACUACGCGCCAGCAGCCGCGGUAACACGUAGGGGGCGAGCGUUGUCCGGAAUUACUGGGCGUAAAGGGCGCGUAGGCGGCCUAAUAAGUCAGAUGUGGAACCCCCGGGCUUAACCCUGGGCUUGCAUUUGAAACUGUUGGGCUUGAGGACAGGAGAGGAAAGCGGAAUUCCCAGUGUAGCGGUGAAAUGCGUAGAUAUUGGGAGGAACACCAGUGGCGAAGGCGGCUUUCUGGACUGUAACUGACGCUGAGGCGCGAAAGCCAGGGUAGCGAACG